CUCUCUCUCUCUCUCUCCCCCUCUCUCUCCCUCAUAGUGCCUUUGUGGUCGUUUUUUAUGGUUAAACUGAUUUCUUGUUGUUCAGUUUCUUGCCUUUCUUGAGGGCAAGUUUGUUCUUCACAUGACCACGCUUCCUCUUCGCCGUCUGAAGAAAUGAAAUCAUAAUAACAUUUAGAUGAGACAGUAGAUCAGUCCAGAAAACCUAUAUCCCUCAAACCCUGGGCAUUUAGCACUCUGAUAGGUUAACCCUGGGCAUUUAGCACUCUAAUAGGUUAACCCUGGGCAUUUAGCACUCUAAUAGGUUAACCCUGGGCAUUUAGCACACUAAUAGGUUAACCCUGGGCAUUUAGCACUCUAAUAGGUUAACCCUAGGCAUUUAGCACUCUGAUAGGUUAACCCUGGGCAUUUAGCACUCUAAUAGGUUAACCCUGGGCAUUUAGCACUCUAAUAGGUUAACCCUGGGCAUUUAGCACUCUAAUAGGUUAACCCUAGGCAUUUAGCACUCUGAUAGGUUAACCCUAGACAUUUA
ensembl:lncRNA